CAAUAGCGUAUAUUAAAGUUGUUGCAGUUAAAAAGCUCGUAGUUGGAUUUCUGGCAUGCUGCGCCUGGCCCGCCCGCGUUAGCGGUGUGAGUGCCGGUUUGCGCGGUUGCCAUCCUUCGGGAAAACGGGCCUGCCCUUCACUGGGAGGGGUCCGCGAUCUCGGACGUUUACUUUGAAAAAUUAGAGUGUUUAAAGCAGGCAAUUGCUGUGAAUACAUUAGCAUGGAAUAAUGAUAUAGGACUUUGGUUCUAUUUUGUUGGUUUCUAGGACUAAAGUAAUGAUUGAUAGGGAUAGUUGGGGGUGCUAGUAUUGAGCGGCCAGAGGUGAAAUUCUUGGAUUCGCUCAAGACUAACUUAUGCGAAAGCAUUCACCAAGGAUGUCUUCUUUAAUCAAGAACGAAAGUUGGGGGAUCGAAGACGAUUAGAUACCAU
rnacentral:rRNA from 1 species